rnacentral:misc_RNA from 1 species
AGAAAUUCUGAGGACUAUGCCUAGCAGCUGAAAUCACCACAACAAGUUCAAAGUCGAAUCCUGGCUCUUCCACAUCCUUUCCCUUCGUACAGUAAACUGAACUGAUGCCUUUUGGAUAUGUUUCACUCACAUACUUCAUAAUUUCAGCAUCCAUGGCAGACCUAUAUUCUUCCACGAAAGCAGAUGGAAGUUCUUCAUCUCUUGCUGGCCUAACAUCUUUACAAACUUGCUUGACAUGGUCAACUCUGGCAACCUGGGCAGUUCGGGGAUCAAGAUACUCAUCCUUAUCAACCUCACUGAAGGAUGUAAUCAGUACAUCGCCACUUCUGUUUGGGAAUUCGAGACAAAUCAAGUGAGAUUUGUUGUACGAAGGAAAUGACUCCUCGGCCGCUUUCUUAUAUAUAUUUUCGUCCUUUAAAAUAGCUCUAACAUCUUUGGCGACGUACUGAAUUUCGCCGGCUGGGGCAUUAAGAAGGAACCAUUUGGCAAUCUCAAUUUUCUGGUCAUCAGUAAGUUGUGUUUCUGAUUCCAGGAAAUCUUCGUCUUCUUCUAACAUUUUUAUCAUUUAUUUUUUGCAAUCUUAUUAACAGAUAUUCUUCUCCAUUGAAUUCAAUUCAAUUCAAAUUCGAAGAAGAUACCAUCAACCCCACCAGAGUCGCUUUCCCCUCUCUUUUGUUACUAGAUGUAGUGUGCCCGUGCGAGGCACGGACAUGUGCCUUUUUGUUCGUAGGAGCAAAUCUAUGAGGAAUUUCCGUCUCCGAAACUGGGCAGAAGAAUGAAUCUACUUUUUUCCAUGGAAAGUAAGAAAGUUU